rnacentral:rRNA from 1 species
AUUGAACGCUGGCGGCAGGCUUAACACAUGCAAGUCGAGCGAGCGGCGGACGGGUGAGUAAUGUCUGGGCAACUGCCUGAUGGAGGGGGAUCACUACUGGAAACGGUCGCUAAUUCCGCAUACCAUCAGAUUUGCCCAUAUGGGAUUAGUUGGUAGGUGGGGUAAUGGCUAACCUAGGCGACGAUCCCUAGCGGGUCUGCGAGGAUGACCAGCCACACUGGAACUGAGCACGGGCCCAGACUCCUACGGGAGGAAGCAGUGGGGAAUAUUGCACAAGGGGCGAAAUCCUGAUGCAGCAAGGCCGCGGGUGGGAAGAAGGCCUUCGGGUUGUAAAGCACUUUCAGCGAGGAGGCGUUACUCGCAGAAGAAGCAACGGCUAACUACGUGCCAGCAGCCGCGGUAAUUC